rnacentral:tRNA from 1 species
GGGGCUAUGGCGCAGUUGGUAGCGCGCUUCCAUGGCAUGGAAGAGGUCAGGGGUUCGAA